AUGGCCAUAUUUCAGCAAAUGAGAGCCAAUGGGGGCAAGUUGGUUAAGGACAUCAACAGAUACAAUCCUGGCCACCCUGGAACACUACAUGGAGACGCAGGCCAAGGAGAAUGCCUAUGAUCUAGAAGACAACCUGGCUGUCCUAAAGCUGUACCAGUUCAACCUAGCAUUUUUUCAGACCACGGUCACUGCCCAGAUCCUGCUGAAGGCCCUCAACACCUGCCGCACACCAACUUCACCCUGUCCACGUGCAUGAUCCACCAGCACAACAAGAAGAGCAGGCAAUCCAACAGAUUUUGCACCUCGGGGACUUGCUGGAGACUUGCCACUUCCAGGCCUUCUGGCAAGGAAAACAUGGUCCUGUUGGAAGGUAUAACCGGCUUUGAAGACUCUGUCUGAAAGUUUAUCUGCCAUGUCAUGGGUAUCACUUACCAGCACAUGGGAUGCUGGCUGCUUGGUAAAAUGUUUGGUGAUCUGUUAGCCAGCCAGCUAAAGGUGUAGAUGAGCAAAUAUGGCUGGAGCGCUAACGAGUCAGGGCCGAUCUUCAUCUGUAACCAGGAAGAGAGCAUUAAACCCUAGAAUACUCUAGAGAAGAUUGACUUUGACAGUGUGUCCAGCAUCAUCGCCUCCUCCCAGUAA
rnacentral:lncRNA from 1 species